AGGCAGUGUAUUUAGAAGAUUUGAUUUAAUAUCAAUCACUAACUACACAGCUAGG
rnacentral:pre_miRNA from 1 species